CGUGCUGGGAAGGGUGUUCUGAACAGAGAUAACACUAGCAGAGGUGCAGAGGCAUGAGCCAGCAUGCUAUUUUGAGAAAGUCCUAGCAGUUUAUUGGCCCUGGAUGAAAAAAGAGAGCAGUGGAGAGGAAAGCAAGGUCAAUGGUGUGGUGUCAGGUGGGUCUGGGCUGAUAGAGAGAACUUGGGUUCCACCACAAAGAAGCUAAAAAGCAAAAAGAGGGUGUGUGAUGGGGAAGCAGCCGGCCACAGCGUCCAGGAUCAUGGCUCAAUCCGGAAGACAAUCUUACUUGUUAAUUUGUGUUUUGCUGCCCUGAUAAACAAUCAGGGCUAUAUCUCACCAGAAGAUAAGAGAUCUAUCUGAUGUGGCAGGUGGUAAAAUAGCAUGGCCAAAGGAACAGUAAGACUGUCAAAUUCGGAUUUGAAAGGUGUGGAGCAGAGUGGCCCUUGCUGCACCAUGAUCUUAGGAGAGCCGGGGAAGACACACAGCAAUGGCACACACAGAUUGGUUUCAAGUCACCAAGCUGGUCCAGGCUACAAGUCUCACCAUCCAGGAAAAAUAGCAGCUGUAGCAGUUCCCCUCCUGCCUAGGCUUACCAUGGGGAAGAGCACAAUUCUAGCCCUGCUCCUGGGGUGAUGUCCAUGGUUCUGACUGUGGAGGCCUCAACCCCACUCAAGAGAAGGUGCUCCAAUCUCUGGCCAAAACUACAAUGCCUGUGCAGCCACACUGCCAGGUCACUAAGAGCUAGGGAGAAGAGGGACAAGGUGGCACAGGCAGAAACAGAGAAGCUUGAUCAUCCCCAGUACAGCAACAAGAUUUGUAUUCAAACAUUCUCUAGAAGAAAUCUGCACAUGGCAUAGUGGAUGAGUAAAAAAUAGAGCCACCUGGUCUCCAAAAACCCAAAAGCAUGAGGUGGCCAGAUGUGGAGUUGAAAUUCCACUGUCCCCCAAGAGGGAAAGAG
rnacentral:lncRNA from 10 species